rnacentral:tRNA from 1 species
AACUUUUAAAGGAUAACAGCUAAUCCACUGGUCUUAGGAA